rnacentral:rRNA from 1 species
GACGAACGCUGGCGGCGUGCUUAACACAUGCAAGUGGAGCGACGAACCAGGGCUUGCCCUGGGGCAAAGCCGCGAACGGGUGAGUAACACGUGGGCAACCUGCCCCGAAGACCGGGACAACCCGAGGAAACUCGAGCUAAUACCGGAUGUGGUCACUCCUCACAAGUGGAGUGAGCAAAGGGAGCUUCGGCCCCCGCUUUGGGAUGGGCCCGCGGCCCAUUAGCUUGUUGGUGAGGUAACGGCUCACCAAGGCGACGAUGGGUAGCUGGUCUGAGAGGACGAUCAGCCACACUGGGACUGAGACACGGCCCAGACUCCUACGGGAGGCAGCAGUGGGGAAUCUUGCGCAAUGCGCGACAGCGUGACGCAGCAACGCCGCGUGGGGGAAGAAGGCCUUCGGGUUGUAAACCCCUUUCAGGAGGGACGAAGCUUCGGGAGUGAAUAGCUCUCCGGAGUGACGGUACCUCCACAAGAAGCCCCGGCUAACUACGUGCCAGCCGCCGCGGUAACAC